GGAUAGACUUUUGAUAAAGAUGCAUCGGCUGCUGAUAUUCUGUCUCGUAUGUUCGUUCAUUGUGCAAUGUUCUGCACAAAAACCAGGCGCAUGCCCAGAUGGCGACAUCAGACCAUCUGUAUGCCUGUGGGAUUGCGCGUCCGAUCAUGAAUGCCCCGGUGCACAGAAAUGCUGCCAAUAUAGCAGCUGCAUGUUCACCUGUGAAACACCCAUCUAGUUGGCUCGUAUCGUCCAUGACGUCCGUGACACAACCUAUUGAGUGCUGCCUGAAACGCGGAUCUGGAUCAUUUGAGUUCAAAUUAAAUCAAAGUUAUGAAAACUAGGAAGUGUUUAUAGUUUGUGUUUAACAUGCCUCACAUAUAAUUAAAGGACGAACAUUUGUCCGUGUGUGUGUUUCCU